GUGAUCAUUUUGGCAGUACAUAUACUAAAACUGGAACAAUAGAGAGAUGAUUAGCAAGGCCUCUCUGCACACGGAUGACGUGAGAUUCAGGAAGCCAGCCAUGUUUUC